rnacentral:rRNA from 1 species
GACGAACGCUGGCGGCGUGCUUAACACAUGCAAGUCGAACGGAAAGGCCCUGCUUUUGUGGGGUGCUCGAGUGGCGAACGGGUGAGUAACACGUGAGUAACCUGCCCUUGACUUUGGGAUAACUUCAGGAAACUGGGGCUAAUACCGGAUAGGAGCUCCUGCUGCAUGGUGGGGGUUGGAAAGUUUCGGCGGUUGGGGAUGGACUCGCGGCUUAUCAGCUUGUUGGUGGGGUAGUGGCUUACCAAGGCUUUGACGGGUAGCCGGCCUGAGAGGGUGACCGGCAACAGGGCGACGGAGUGGCGGCCAAGGCUCGUAGGGGGGGCAGGGGGGGGGAGUAGUGCAGAGGGGGAGGAGGCCUGAGGCAGCAGCGCGGGGGUGGGGAUGCGGGCCUGCGGGGUGCAACCGGGUGUCGGUGGGGAGGAAGAGUGGGUGAGGGUAAGAGGCAAAGAAGCACGGGCCAACUGCGUGCCAGCGGGCGAGUGAAUGGACGGAAGAGCGACGUUUGACC